AUGUUUUUGCAGCGAUUUCUCAGUUUCCUGGAUUUUGUCUUACUGUUUGUAUCUUUUGUGGAAAAACAGAUUUGGAAAUACAGGAGAAGUGGGUGGAAAAAGAGAGCCAGCUCCAACUGUUUGGGUCACAGCUACAGGCCAGACCCUUUGCUGCUCUUUUUCUCCGGAACCAGAGAGUGACUCAGUUUAUUCUGAUGUCCCCAGGACCCUGAGAGCCGACCCGCACCCAAGGGGCUGCGGUGGCGCAGGCAUCAGGGUCUCCUCCUGGCAGCUAGGGCGGGCAGAUACACGUGCAUUCCACUUAUCCUCAACCUGGAAAAGGAAGGCCGAGGACUUUGACCUUGGAGAAACGGCGUCCUCGGGCGAUGGGGACGGGAGGGUCCGGGAGAAGUCCUCAGAUUCCUCUGGAGAAGUUGUGCAAACAGAAGGCAUUCCUCGGCUUCCGCCCCGAAGCGGGCCCGGUUCCCCGGAGCGGCGGCGUCCCGGUCGACGCCGUCGCGGGCCCGUCCUCGGUCUCGCCCGCCCCCUCGAGGCCCGGGCGGCCGCCGCGGCGCGAGAGCAGCAGCCCGAGCGCUCCGCGUGUCGCCCGGCGGCCGCCCGGAACCGCGGGCCGCGGGGAUGCGCAGGCCGAGGUGGCGGCGCCUCCAGCCCCUUCCGCUGCCCCCGCCCCCGCCCCCGCUCGGCUCCGGGCUUCGCCUCCGCGCGGCCGACCCCGCGCCUCGCCCAGCCGCCGCGCGCUCGCUCCUCGCCAGCGGCUCCGCGGCCCCGGGAGAGGCCUGGAGCGGGAGCGGGAGCGGGAGCCGGGGCUGGCGGAGGAUGGAGGGGGCGCGGGCGGCGGCCGAGCCUGCCGGCGGGAGCCCUCAAAGGCCCAAGACAGGGAGCGGAACAACCAGCCCCAUGCAUGUGACCUCAGUUAUGGAGAGAAAUGGUCCUGAGGCACAACUGGAUAAUGGACCCCUCUCAAGACCCUGGCCAUUUCCUACCCCUCAGCCUCCUAGGCUCUGUGGUGUGCAGCUCCGUGGACCCUCUGUGUUGGAGUUCAAGGUGAAGGCUUUGAAGGAGAAGAUGAUAGCGGGUAAACAGGGAGUGAGCCCCACCACCCAUGAGCAGUCAUCCCUCAAGAAAUCCAAAUGCCGACAAGUCAAGCCUAGAAGAGUCCGCAUAUCAGAAGACUCUUCCCUGCCAGCUGCUGUGGUGGUGCCCUCUGCUCAGAAGCUGACUGGUGAGCCACUAGACAACAGUGUCAACAAGGAAGAACCCACUAGGAAUGGGGGCUUCAGGCCUCCCAAGGCCUCUGCCUUUGAGCUUGAGUGUUGGAAAGGGCAGAGCCCAUUGCCUCCAGAAGCAGUAUGGAUGUUCCCAGAGUGUGAUGGGCAUCUAUCACCAGGACCUGACUCUUUGCCAGAAAGCCCUAUUCACAGAGUUACUCCAGGCUGGCCAGCAGGGCCUGGGCCUUGUAAAAUCUCCUGUAUGCCCAGCCUGAAGAAAAGAAGGCCAGACACCCUUCAAGAUGGUCUGGUCACAGUGGGAGCCUUGGACAGCCCAUCUCUCACCCCUGAAGAGGGCUUUGUCCCAAGGCCAUGCCUGCAGGGGACGCUGUGGAAAGCUAGAGACAUGGGGGCUCCGGGCACUGGGGGCAGUGUCUUAUCCUUAUCUGACCAAGUAGAGAGGAACCGCCUGCUGCUGCAGGAGAUGCUGAAGGUUUCAGGACAGAGUCCCCCCAAGGUGGUAUCUGCAGCCCAGGACAGAACUGCACCAGAACAACCAGCAGUGGACACAGGCUGGGAAUCAGGACUGUUCCUGCAGGACUCAGAGCAGAACAGGACCUUUGGUCCCAAGCCGGAGGCUGUGCCGAGCUCCAGUAAUGAGGAUGCCAAACAUCUGCUGCAGUGUGCCCGAAUGAAGGCCAGGACCCGGCCCCUCCGUGCCAGCCAUGACAUUGUGCCCACCAUUGCUCAGGGCAGCCGAGCUGGCUGGAGAAGUCUGGCCCUGGGUCCCCAGAUGACCUUCCCCUGUGGAGAAAGCCUUCAGAGCAGCAGCCUGAGUGACUCCUCCAGUGGGGAGUCCAGCAGUGGGCAGUGGCCCAAGCAGGGCAUGUCCCCGUCACAUGUCCGCUUUGAAGAUGAAUCUGCUUGUGAAGCUGAAUUCCGCCACCUGGAGCGGCUGCAGCAGCGCCAGCGCCAGCGCCAGGUGCUGGGCACAGUGCUGCAGGCUGCAGGCCAGGGCCCCCUGCGCUCCAAGCCAGACCUCGCAGACUAUGUGAACCGGGAAGUGGGGAUGGGCACGUUCCACAGGCCAGGGGACAGUGUGGACUGCAGGGGCCACCCUCUGCUGCUGCCCAACUGGGCCAGUAAAAAGAAGUGCCAAGCUUGCGGCAACUGUCCUGAAAGGCAACACCUGGACCCAGCUGUUCUCGAGGACCUUCAGGCUGCUUAUGGGGUAGAGGGCGUGCUGCUGGGGUCCCAUGGUUCUCGUGGCCUGACCUCCCCAUGCCAGCUCCUCCCUGCUAAAUCAGAGCUCCACACAGAAAGGAUCCAGGAAACACAUAUUGGGGAGACCAUCACAUGCCUUGCAGAGGGGGACUCUGCCCUGGAUAGUACGGACACUUCAGACAGCUGCCGGUCAGACAGUAUGGAGGCCACAGCCUCUCUGGCCUGCAGAACAGGCCGGCGGACUCGAGGCAGAAACCCUAGAGAUUGGGACUCCAGGCCUCAGGGAAGCCUCAGGUGGUCCAGGAAAGCCAAGAUGGAGCUGCUCUGUGGCCUUCAGGCUUGGCAUCACCCCGUAGGGGCAGAUGACAUGGAGGUGGGAGAAGAUGCAGGACACAUGGCUGCGGGGACUCAGUUUUUUAAAGCAGAUACUGUCUUUAAGCCUCCUCCCUUGGAACCUGAGAUGACUUCCUUGGGGUCCCACAGGCAGCCUGGACCAGGGCUAAGAAAUCACCAGAUUCCCUCUGUGGACUCCUGGGCUCCAUGCAAGUCAGCCAGUGCCACGACAUUUUCCACGAAGCCAGCACCUUCAGGACCAGGCAGACCAGAAAGCCCUGAGUAUCUGGAAACAGUCUGCACUUCCUCCCUGCAACAAAAUCAUUCAGUACACACUGCCCCCAGCCCAACCCAGCAGCCAACCGUGCCCCCCUCCCCUGAACAGUGGGUACCAACAAGAACCACCUCCUGUGUGCCUCACGGAAAGGCAGGGCUGGCUGGACCCUACAGGCCAGAGGAGCAGGAGGAAUCUGUGGGUAUUCCUCGGCCACCAUCUGCUCCGAGGACUGUGGUUCUCCAGACCUGUGGGCUCAGCUCCCCACAGACCCAGUCCUGCAUCCCCCACGUCAGGCACCCACUGCUGGGCCUGUCUGCCAACAGCUGCAUUCCUCUGGGGCAGCAGCAACCCCAGCGAACAGCUGCGCACAGGGGCAGAGAGGAGAGGGAGCCCUGCAGCCAGCAGCCGGAUCCACCUUUGGAAGGCAGCGGAGAUGGAGGAUGCCAGGGCGCUGUCAGCUUAGCAGAUGCUGCUGCCUUCAACUCCAUGGGCGUCACCCUCACCCUGAACUCCGAGGAGCCCAAGAGAGGCCUGCAGAGGACGGAGUCCAGUUCUGGGGGGCAUGUGCUGUCCGGAGGAUCACCAGGGGCCAGUGCAGGGCCCAGGCCGCCUUUGGCUGUGCCUUCUGACAGCAAUAAAAAAAGGAGCAGCAGUAUCGCCUCCACGCUGGGGCUGAAAAAGCUGUUUUCAGCCCUCGGGCAGACUUCCCGGCCCAAGCUGGGCAAGUCCCGCAGCUACAGUGUAGAGCAGCUGCGGCCCGACGCACCUGGCUCGGCGUCACACACCAGAACCCCAGAAGUAAAGAGAACCCCAUCGCUACAGUCCCUGAAUCUGGUGUCACCCUCCCGCCAACAUCGGAAAGCUGCCUCCUUUCAGAACCUCCAUUCUCUGCUGAGUGGCAGGGGGGACCGGUCCAGCCUCUACCUGGUAGAGGCCGAAGGGAACCCCACUGAACCUGGGAGGCCUGCCAAGGUCCCUCCCCGGCGCACCCUCAGCGUGGAGGAUGUGGGCGCCCCCAGCCUGGCUCGCACCGUGGGCCGCGUGGUGGCAGUGUUCCCGGAUGGCACGAGCCAGCUGCAGCUGGAGCGUUCCCCUGAGGGCACCUUUGGCUUUCAAGUGGGUUCCGGGAAUGGGCGCAGGGACUCAGGUCGCUUUGGCCGAGUUGCUGAAGGAGGCACGAAUGUGAGAAGACAGAUCUCCCCCUCUGCACCUGCACCUGCACCUGCGGAGGGAAAGCGGCAGUCUUUGCAGGGAGAUGACAUUUGUGAGGUGCUCCCCAGGUGUCAGUCCUACAGCCUCUUCUUGGGCAGCUCAGAGGCCUCCCAGGCUCACUGCUGUCAGUGAGGAAAGUGUGUAGGUACUGUGUCACCCCUGCUGGGGGAGGGGACUUCAAGGUGACUUAGCCCCUCUGGGCCUAGGCUCCCUCAUCUGUGGAAUGAGGACACCACCGCCCCCCUGGAAGAGGUAUGGGAACAUUUGGUGAGGUUCAGAAUAAAGUGCCUGGCUCUUUUCUUCCCUUCCCUUUUCAGGAGAAGGUACAAAGAGUGACCAGCAUGACCUGCACCUGUGGGACACCACAGGCUGCUGCAUUCGCCCCCCCCCCUCCUGCCAUGGAGCUCUGGUGCACGAGGACUCUGAGGAUGCAGAGCUCCUCAGGCUCUGUCCUGGCCUUGCCCCCAUGGGUGCUCCUUGCUGGGGGUCCUGUUCAGGUGGGGCCUUGCCCCCUGCUGCUAUAGCUGGCCACUAGGCAUCUUGCAGAGGCCCCAGGCACACACAGCAAAUAGGUGCUUUACCCAGACCCUCCUCCAGAGCCAGGGUCACGUCUCCUCGGCCACGGAGCCAGGUGGGCUGGGGCAGAUCUGGCUCCUUGGUAAAAUGUCAGGAUGACGCCAUUAGCUUGCUGGCUAUCAGAGUCUGUUUCCACAGGAGCGCAAGGAACAGCAGGCUUUGCCUUCUGCUCCUACUGUGUAGACUGCACACCCUUACAAAGACCACCUCCAGCAGACAGGAGCCCACAGGAGCAGACUGUUGGCUGUAUUUUCCUUAUGACUUUCAGUUAGGAAACCUACCCAGCUCUCCUGAAAACGCCCGGUUAUGUCAGUGUGUGCUCAGGCUCAGCUGCAUUCUUUCGGGUUUUAUGGCUGCUCCCCACCUGCCUCUCCCACUGUGCAGCAGACCCUUGUCAGGUGCAUGGGGCCUCCUCACCAGCCUGUCCCUGGGCCACCUGUGUGGAAGUAGGGCAGGCAGGCCACUGCACCACCUGAGAGAGGACAGAAGGGGUGGGGCAGAGCCUGUGAGGAAAAGCUGUGCAACCAGGAUGGAGACGGUGCCUGCCGCGGGGUGAGCAGCCUCGUCUUGGCGAAGCAGCGGCAGAGCUGCAGACUGCUCUGUGCCCCUGUGAAGGAGGAGCUGGCACCUGUGCUUUCCCAGCCUUCUGAACUUGUCGUGGCUGGAGCUGGACAGGGUGCUCUGGGGCCCGGAGGGCCAGGAAGGACUGCUGAUGGGUCACAGAUGCUACAAACCGUGUAGGCCAGAGACAGCACAGCCAGACCAGAUGACUGAAUCCCUGCACAGCACUGAGCCUCGGAAAAGGAAGUGGAGCCAGCAGCAGGGCAGCUCUUCCUGUUUCUCACACAGAGCCAGCUGAGCCUGGGCUGGGCAGCAGUGAGCACUAAGCUGCCUCAGCGAAUUCUGCAAUCUUGUGGGCCGCGUGAAGGUCGCCCCAAAAGACCAUCCCCUGCAGUUCUCUAGCAGACUAGCUGUGCCCCAGAGCCCCGUGUUCCCUUGGCACGGAGCGUGGGCAGUGGGCUUAGUGACUGGAAGAUGCUGUUCAGCGUUUAAUCUCAGGCCUCUAUGUGCAGGAGAUGGCUGACCUGGACACCGCCAAGCUCUACUCGGGGCUGCUCGGGGUGGGGGAUGAGAUCCUGGAGGUGAACGGAGCCAAGGUUGCUGGGCUGGGCUUGGCUUACAUCAAGGAGCUCCUUGCCCAUUCAGAGAGCUUAUCAGUCCGUGUCCUGAGG